UAAGACGAAGGAUCCAAGCGUUGUCCGGAUUUACUGGGUUUAAAGGGAGCGUAGGCGGAUUAAUAAGUCAGUGGUGAAAGCCUUCAGCUUAACUGAAGAACUGCCAUUGAAACUGUUAGUCUCGAGUACGGCUGAGGUGACUGGAAUGUAACAUGUAGCGGUGAAAUGCUUAGAUAUGUUACAGAACACCAAUUGCGAAGGCAGGUCACUAAACCGUAACUGACGCUGAGGCUCGAAAGCGUGGGGAGCAAACAGGAUUAGAUACCCUGGUAGUCCACGCCCUAAACGUUGAAUACUCGGUCUUGGCGAUACACAGUCAGGGCCCAAGCGAAAGCGUUAAGUAUUCCACCUGGGAAGUACGUUCGCAAGAAUGAAACUCAAAGAAAUUGACGGGGGCCCGCACAAGCGGAGGAGCAUGUGGUUUAAUUCGAUGAUACGCGAGGAACCUUACCUGGGCUUGAAUGUGAGUGACCGAAGCAGAAAUGUUUCUUUCCCGCAAGGGACAC
rnacentral:rRNA from 1 species